UUGACCUCGGAUCAGGUAGGAAGACCCGCUGAACUUAAGCAUAUCAAUAAGCGGAGGAAAAGAAACCAACAGGGAUUGCCCUAGUAACGGCGAGUGAAGCGGCAACAGCUCAAAUUUGAAAUCUGGCUUCGGCCCGAGUUGUAAUUUGCAGAGGAAGCUUUAGGCGCGGCACUUUCUGAGUCCCCUGGAACGGGGCGCCAUAGAGGGUGAGAGCCCCGUAUAGUUAGAUGCCUAGCCUGUGUAAAGCUCCUUCGACGAGUCGAGUAGUUUGGGAAUGCUGCUCAAAAUGGGAGGUAAAUUUCUUCUAAAGCUAAAUACCGGCCAGAGACCGAUAGCGCACAAGUAGAGUGAUCGAAAGAUGAAAAGCACUUUGAAAAGAGGGUUAAAUAGCACGUGAAAUUGUUGAAAGGGAAGCGCUUGUGACCAGACUUGCGCCGGGCAGAUCAUCCGGUGUUCUCACCGGUGCACUCUGCCCGGCUCAGGCCAGCAUCGGUUCUCGCGGGGGGAUAAAGGCCCCGGGAACGUAGCUCCUCCGGGAGUGUUAUAGCCCGGGGCGUAAUGCCCUCGCGGGGACCGAGGUUCGCGCAUCUGCAAGGAUGCUGGCGUAAUGGUCAUCAGCGAC
rnacentral:rRNA from 1 species